rnacentral:misc_RNA from 1 species
CGCACAUUGCGCCCAUUAGUAUUCUAGUGGGCAUGCCUAUUCGAGCGUCAUUUCGACCCUUAAGCCCCAGUUGCUUAGCGUUGGGAACUUAUCUUUGUUUUCAGAGACGACUCCUUAAAUGUAGUGGCAAUGUUAGAGCAUACUCUCAGCGUAGUAAACUUUUCUCGCUUUUGUAGUAGCCCUACCAUUCGCCGUAAAGCACCCUAUAAUCUAGUGGUUGACCUCGGAUUAGGUAGGAAUACCCGCUGAACUUAA